CCUCGCCGUGAGCAGCUGCAGCAUCACCAUGCCAAGCGCGUACGUGUCCGACUUCACCGACACCUGCCCGCUCCUCUGGUACUCUGGGUCUAUGUAGAACAGCGUCCCAGCCAGAGCCGUCUUCUUGUACAUGGUUGCCGUCCAGGAGGAUGUUCUCAGGCUUGAGGUCCCGGUGAAUGAUUGGGUUUGGUUUGCUGCUGUGGAGGAACACAAGGGCAGAGGCAACCUCCCAGGCGAUGCGCAGCCGGUCACACCACGGCAGCGCCGCCGUACCGCUUUUGCACCGCAGCCGCUCCUCCAGGCUGCCAUUCUCCAUGUACUCGUACACCAGGCACCCCCUCUCCACACACGCUCCCAGGAGCAUCACCAGAUGCGGGUGAUGUAUCUUCCCCAGAACCUCAAGCUGCAAAAUUAACUUCUUAAUACUGUAUUACACUUUUGCUCUACAUACAUGCUUGGCAUGGCAGUUCAACUAUGCUAUGAAUAUUAAAAAUAAGGUGAUAUGAUGUAUGCCUAUCCUAACUGUUUGUUAGUAUGAAAGCAUAUAAUUUAAUUCGGGUACUAGUACCUCU